UGUUGGAGAAGAAUGGUCGGCAGAGUAACUGUGUCGGCGUGACGGUAUCCAACCAGAAAGCCACGGCUAACUACGUGCCAGCAGCCGCGGUAAUACGUAGGUGGCAAGCGUUAUCCGGAUUUAUUGGGCGUAAAGCGAGCGCAGGCGGUUUUUUAAGUCUGAUGUGAAAGCCCUCGGCUUAACCGAGGAAGCGCAUCGGAAACUGGGAAACUUGAGUGCAGAAGAGGACAGUGGAACUCCAUGUGUAGCGGUGAAAUGCGUAGAUAUAUGGAAGAACACCAGUGGCGAAGGCGGCUGUCUGGUCUGUAACUGACGCUGAGGCUCGAAAGCAUGGGUAGCGAACAGGAUUAGAUACCCUGGUAGUCCAUGCCGUAAACGAUGAAUGCUAGGUGUUGGAGGGUUUCCGCCCUUCAGUGCCGCAGCUAACGCAUUAAGCAUUCCGCCUGGGGAGUACGACCGCAAGGUUGAAACUCAAAGGAAUUGACGGGGGCCCGCACAAGCGGUGGAGCAUGUGGUUUAAUUCGAAGCAACGCGAAGAACCUUACCAGGUCUUGACAUCUUUUGAUCACCUGAGAGAUCAGGUUUCCCCUUCGGGGGCAAAAUGACAGGUGGUGCAUGGUUGUCGUCAGCUCGUGUCGUGAGAUGUUGGGUUAAGUCCCGCAACGAGCGCAACCCUUAUGACUAGUUGCCAGCAUUUAGUUGGGCACUCUAGUAAGACUGCCGGUGACAAACCGGAGGAAGGUGGGGAUGACGUCAAAUCAUCAUGCCCCUUAUGACCUGGGCUACACACGUGCUACAAUGGAUGGUACAACGAGUUGCGAGACCGCGAGGUCAAGCUAAUCUCUUAAAGCCAUUCUCAGUUCGGACUGUAGGCUGCAACUCGCCUACACGAAGUCGGAAUCGCUAGUAAUCGCGGAUCAGCACGCCGCGGUGAAUACGUUCCCGGGCCUUGUACACACCGCCCGUCACACCAUGAGAGUUUGUAACACCCGAAGCCGGUGGCGUAACCCUUUAGGGAGCGAGCCGUCUAAGGUGACAGAUUGG
rnacentral:rRNA from 2 species